rnacentral:lncRNA from 1 species
UACUUUCCCUCCGGUGCAUUGUGGCUUAUUCCGGGGGACGAGUAUUUCCGGCAAAGAUUCUCAAGAAAGAAGGCGGCAGAGUCUUGAACGGUAAGUUGUCUUUUCUCUCUUUUUAUUUUGUGGUUUGGUACAUAUAUAUAGUCCCUAACUAUUUAUAAGAUGCCCUUAAUCCUCUUCUUAUAAUGAUUAUGACUUUAAUCCUCUUGGUUUAAUUAUCAUUAAGCCAAUAGCGCCUAAGAUUAGGAUUUAGGACCAAGAUUAGAAGUUAAACUAUAAAAACAAGAAUGGUAAUUAUUUUCUCUCUGCAAGUUGAGUAUCACUAGAUGGGUUAAUCUCGAGUCUAUAGAGAAUAAAUUCUUAAUUACCGUAGCUGCACUGAUUUUUAAUUAUGUUUAUUUUAGCUCUCAAAGUGAUAAUCUUUGCAAUUUUUAAUGUCAAAUGUAAUUUGACCACUCGACAUGCUUAAUGCUGUAAUGUAAUCUUGGACUUUUUCUGUGCACGAAAACCUAAUAUAUGAUUGUGGAAAGAUCAUUUUAAUGGAUGGUAGGAGUAUCUUUUGGAUUGUUUUUAGAGUUAGUAUUGUUAGGAGGAUAAGAAAUUUAAGUUGUAUAAAAAUAGUUAAAAUAUCUUGUAAAUUGUAUAAAAAUUAGCAUAUCAGAAUAUGCUAUAAUGGCUCGAGUAGCUUUCCAUUUUGAUAGGGAAGGAUGCGAAAGAACACUAAUAAGUGAGAAAAAAAAAGUAAGAAAUUUUUUGACAUAUUUAUAUGUAUGUAUAUAUAUAUAUAUAUAUAUAUAUAUAUAUAUGAGAGAAUGUACAAUAGUAUGAUCUCAUAUAAUGAAAACUUUAAUUUUUUUAAUGGAAAAUAACACUUAAAAGUGAUAUUAUGUUUUUUUAUUAAUCUUUAAUUUUUUUUAAAAAAAUAUUUUUUUAAAAAAAUAUUUUAUAUUUAAAUAUUUAAAUAUUUUAUAAAUAUCACAUAUAUAUCUUUAAGUAUAGGGUGGAAAGAUGUGAUAAAACAUUUGAGUUCUUCUACAUUUUUUUCUCUAGUGGAUGAUUAUGUGAAAGUAUAUUAAAAAAAAGAAGCUUGAAUUGGGGUUUAUUUUAAAAAAAUUAUGUUUUGAGUUUUAUUCUUUCUUAAUGGGAUACUGUUAAAGUCACUAUGCUGUAGGUGCUCUAACGAGACGAGACGGGACUCGACCACUUCAACUAUGCAUAGAUCAAGCAUCAUCGAGCGAAAGCUUUCGGAUUACUAUCGUUGGACAGUAAGAAAAAGGAAGUCUUGCUCAAGUUAAGAUCACUCUGAUAUCA